GCCCAUUGGUUGACCAAGGGUUGAUUAAUGUUUCUACACCAAAAGGUCUGGGGUUCGAGUCUCAGGUAUUGCGAUUUAUUAACAAAUUUGCAGAUUAAUGGAGGCAAGUGUGCAAGAGAUCUCCAGCGAUGUACAAUUAUAGCCGUUCGCCAGGAUUCUACGCAGAGAAGGAAGUGUCGCCAGGUCGUGGAUCAUUGAAGGUAUUCAUCAAGAUUACGAAGAAGGAAGUGUAGUCUGUCGUGAAUCUAGUAAGGGUCGGAAGGAAUUGUCAGUUGUAGAAUCGUCUAUGUAACAGUUCUCAUAAUUUGCAAUUAAUAAUAAAUCUAGACGGCAAAAAAAAAAAAAAAAUACAAUCUUAUAUGGCAUAAUCUUAUUGGCUAAUAAAAAAAGAGGUGAACAAAGGGAUUCACCCCUAGGUGUAAACCUAAGAUUUGUCCAAUCAGAUUCACGUAACCGUUUGCCUUUG
rnacentral:lncRNA from 1 species